rnacentral:misc_RNA from 1 species
GAACGCACCUUGCGCCCUUUGGCUAUUCCGAAGGGCAUGCCUGUUUGAGUAUCAUGAACACCUCAACUCUCAUGGUUUGCCAUGAUGAGCUUGGACUUUGGGGGACUUGCUGGCCUAUGGUCGGCUCCUCUCAAAUGAAUCAGCUUACCAGUGUUUGGUGGCGUCACAGGUGUGAUAACUAUCUACGCUUGCGGCUUUCCAUCAGGUAACCUUCAGUGAUGGAGGUUUGCUGGGGGCUCAUAAAUGUCUCUCCUCGGUGAGGACAGCUUUUUGAACGUUUGAUCUCAAAUCAGGUAGGACUACCGGCUGAACUUA